UGACUGGCAGUAGCCAUGACUGAGGAGAUGUGGGGAUAGGGGUUGGGGGUUCCCCUCGGGUGGGGGAAACCCAGUAAGACUGUGGGGUACUGCAGAAGGCAGAACCCUGAGAUAAGGGGCACCGGGGUCCUGGGAGGGACAUGGGGGGCCAACGGCAAGCGGAUCACCAGCAAGCGGAUCACCAGCCUGCAGACGGCGCUCCUGGGUUGAAGAGCUAAUUCCCAAGGAUGACCAGCAGGAGGCGCCGCAGGGGAACAAGGACUGUCAGCGAGGGGGACUCUCUCCUGGGAAGCAGUGACUCUGAAAAAGAUUUGGGGCCCAAAUUCAGGAAGGACGUGGCUACGUUGGAGGGGAGUCAGAGAUGAGCCGUGAUGAAAGGAUUCAAAAACCUACCUUAGCGUGAGAGACUUCAGGAAUUCAAUCUAUUUAGCUUACCGAAGAAAAGGUUAAGGGCCAUAGCCUACGUCAUCUCUGCGUUGCGGGCACAAGUGUACUGCUUCCCUACGGUACAAAGUGGCAGUGACGUCAUUUUGCUCGUCGUGCGUGCGCCGCUGUUCCCCGUUCUGACGGGCUGUUUAUAAUGCUAAGUUUACUAGUUUUUGGAGGUUGUCGACUGAGGCUAACUAUUUUUGUUGAGUUGUUUCAGAUCUAAGAUUCUGACAAUUGCUGCUGCUCCAUUUUGCUAAUACUUUGUGUCAAUUGUAUGUGUAUGUUAAGUAUUUUGAGUGUAUAUGUUUAUCAUAUCCUUGAGGGGGCCAUUUAGGGAUCUGGGGCAAAAAUCUGUCUGGGGAUUGGUCCUGCUUUGAGCAGGGGGUUGGACUAGAUCUCCUGAGGUCUCUUCCAACCCUAAUAUUCUCUGAUCAUGUGCAAAUAUGCAUGUGUAGGUUGUUGAAAUUUGUCAUAUUGAUAUUGUCAGUUGUUGUAUGAUGGAGUAUCCACCAUUCUAAUUUUAUAAAUUUUAUUAACAACAAUUGGAUAUUCUAAAGGUAGAAUAAAAUGUAGAUUUUGAUAGGAAGGAAGGAAGUAUACAUGACUAAAAAGGGUGUAUUUAUUUUCAUUAAAUAUGUAGACUAAAUAAUGAAAUUAUUACAUUUUCAAACCAAAUGUGUAUUAAUUCUAAUGGACAUUAUGCAGUAUUUGGUUUUGAAAGUUUAUAAUAAGCGAUGCUUUGCGCAAGAUGGAAGUUUCAUCUAGGGCGCAAAAUAUCCUUGCAUCAGCCCUGACUGAGUGGGCUCUUUAAAGAGAGGAAAUUGGCAGGUUUAGGGUUGCCAAUUUUGGUUUCAUCACAUGACAUAAUCUUUAAUUAAAGAUUGCUCUUUAAUGCCUGGAGACUCCAGGACGAUCCUGGAGGUUUGGCAACCCUCGGCAGCAGGGCCGGAUUUACACUUUACCUGCCUCUAGCAUCUGCAGCGCCCCCCCCGCCUACAGCUGACCUUUGUGUUUUCCAUAGACAAUGAAACUUUUAACCCACUUUUUGGCACCCCAGAAUGCCGCCGACUGUAGGGAGAAACUGGAGAUUGCGUGCCUUGAUACAAGGGGAUGAGCAGGACGUUCUGGUGACACCUUAGGACGCAGCAGUCUGGGGAAGAAGCAGUAAGAAGUGGGGGAGGAAAGCCCAGAGCUGCUGGGUUGAGGGUCCCUGGUCUGGAACCCGGCGUGGAGGGUGAAUGGGGGCUCCCCUUCAUGGCCUGGGGGGAGUGGCAUGCCAGAGACAGCCCACGUGGGGGCUGCCAGAAGCUGUUCUGGAGGAAGACUUUGAUGGAACCCAGAACGGGGGGGAGGGGAGGGGGAGGGAUUUAAUGUGAUUUGGCUGGAGGACAGUAAUUGUGGGAAGGGGCAUCGGACGAGUUCAUGAGCUAAUUCUCCACAAAAACCAGUAGAAGAACACUUCAAUCUCUGGUCACUCAAUUACAGAUCUCAAGGUGGCCAUUCUUCAACAACAAAACUUCAAAACUAGACUCCAAUGUGAA